CCUACGGGUGGCAGCAGUGGGGAAUCUUGCACAAUGGGGGAAACCCUGAUGCAGCGACGCCGCGUGAGUGAUGAAGUAUUUCGGUAUGUAAAGCUCCAUCUGCAUGGAAGUAAAUGACGGUACGUGAUUAAGAAUCCACGGCUAACUACGUUCCAGCAGCCGCGGUAAUACGUCGGGGGCCAGCGUUAUCCGGAUGUACUGGGUGUAAAGGGAGCGUAGAUGGGAGCACAAGUCUGGAGUGAAAUGCUGGGGCUUAACCCCGGAACUGCUUUGGAAACUGUGCAGCUAGAGUGCAGGAGAGGUAAGUGGAAUUCGUGGUGUAGCGGUGAAAUGCGUAGAUAGUAGGAGGAACACCAGUGGCGAAGGCAGCUUACUGGACUGUAACUGACGUUGAGGCUCGAAAGCGUGGGGAGCAAACAGGAUUAGAUACCCGAGUAGUC
rnacentral:rRNA from 1 species